UCCCUUCUUCAUGUGUCUUUCUAAAAUUCAAGGAUAAACGACAUUGAUAGAGUACUUCACGGAAGUUCCAUGAAGUGUUCGGCCCCACUAUUCACAGCAAAUGUGCAUCAUCAUUGGGACCAUUGGCCCAAAAGUCAUGCCCACUAAGCAGGUAUGACUCAUCCACAAGUGAACAACUAGGACGAUGGCUGUUCUUAAAAUACACAUGCUGCAAGCAGGCUACAUGUGCCAGAAUGGAAAAUGCGUCUCAGAUCCAACCCGUCCAACCAGCAAGUCCCACUACCUGUGCCUCAGCCAAAAAGCAGGCCACUCCAUGAUUAGAGGCAUGCUCAAGGAUGGAAGCAGUUAGUGGGAGAGGGGAUCCUCAAAGGGAGCAGAAUUCUUGGCUAUUAGAACCCAUUGGAGAUGUUUGUGACAGAGACUAUAAUGCAAUCGCUUUGGGCUCUUAGAAGGGAAAGCGUGGGCCCAAUCGGGAUGUGUGUCGAAAAUCAACAACAUGAAUUUGAUGGGUCCUCUUUAAUUUAUGGGAUAUCCAAAAAAUCAGCUGUAUACGGAACUCA